rnacentral:rRNA from 1 species
UACAGAGGGGGCAAGCGUUGUUCGGAAUUACUGGGCGUAAAGGGCGCGUAGGCGGCCUGCUAAGUCGAACGUGAAAUCCCUAGGGCUGCAACCCAGGACUGCGUCCGAUACUGGUUGGCUUGAAUCCGGGAGAGGGAUGUGGAAUUCCAGGUGUAGCGGUGAAAUGCGUAGAUAUCUGGAGGAACACCGGUGGCGAAGGCGACAUCCUGGACCGGUAUUGACGCUGAGGCGCGAAAGCCAGGGGAGCAAACGGG